CUUUUUCUUUUUUUUUAUACUUUAAGUUCUGGGGUACAUGUGCAGAACGUGCAUGUUUGUUACAUAGGUAUACACGUACCAUGGUGGUUUUCUGUACCCAUCAACCCAUCACCUACAUUAGGUAUUGCUCCUAAUGCUAUCCUUCUCCAUUCCCCCUACCCCCAAAAAGGCCCCGGUGUGUGAUGUUCCCCUCCCUGUGUCCAUAUGUUCUCAUUGUUCAACUCCCACUUAUGAGUGAGAACACGCAGUGUUUGGUUUUCUGUUCUUGUGUUAGUUUGCUAAGAAUAAUGGUUUUAUGUUUGUUUGUUUUUUUUUGUUUUUCUCAGACGGAGUCUUGCUCUGUCACCCAGGCUGGAGUGCAGUGGCACAAUCUUGGCCUAUUGCAAUCUCUAUCUCCUGGGUUCAAACGAUUUUCGUGCCUCGGCCUCCCAAGUAUCUGGGAUUACAGGUUCCCGGCCAACACACCUGGCAAAUUUUUGUAUUUUAAGUAGAGACAGGGUUUCACCAUGUUGGCUGGGUUGGUCUCAAACUCCUGCCUUUGCCUCCCAAAGUGCUGGGAUUACAGGCGUGAGCCCCCGUGCCUAGCCUUAUGUAUGUAUUUUUUUUUAGAGACUAGGUCUCACUCUGACAUCCAGGCUGCAAUGCAGUGGUGCAAUCAUAGCUUACUAUAGGCAUGAACUCCUGGGCUCAAGGGAUUCUCCCAUCUCAGCCUCCCAAGUAGCUGAAACUACAGAUGCAUGCUACCAUGCCCAGCUAACUUUUAAUGUUUUGUAGAGACCAGGUCUCACUAUGUUGCCCAGGCUGGUCUCGAACUGCUAGCCUCAAGCGAUCCUCCUGCCUCGGCCUCCCAAAGUGCUAGGAUUACAGGCAUGGGCCACCAUCCCCAGCCAGUACUUACUUUUUGAAUGGAUGAAUGAGUGAAGGAAUAAAUUAGUGAUGGACAUAAUAAAGGAAUGAGUGAAUGAAUGAAUGAAUGAGUGACAGAACGAAUGAAUGACUGAAUAAAUGAAACUAAUUAUUUAGUUACCUUCUUCCCAGCCACAAAGCUCUCUGAUACAAGAUAACAUCAACAUCAAGGAUUAGCAAUAUAUGUCUAUUGAUGAAAAUUUGGAAAAUAAAGGCAUAUAGAAGAAAGCAGAAAAAUAAAAACCCUUACAUUUUGGAGUGCUUAUUCCUUUUAUUUUCCCUUUAUAAUGUGUGCAUGUGUGUGAAUGUGUUGGGUUGGUAUUGUAUUUGGCAACCUGCUUUUUUCACGCAACAUUGGGUCAAGAGCAUUUCUCUCACAUGAAAAUGUUUUAAACCAGCCUUCUGCUAUCAAAUGCUGAGAUAACCUCAAAGGAGUGGAAGUCCAUACAGCCAGACACCAAAGGCCAGGCCUCCCUCUUCCAGCCAGGAGCUGCCCAACUCACCCAGGAGCAUGCUGCCACCGUAGAUCCCUGAGUUCCACAGAGUAGCCUAUGAUCAUGAACUUCACUGCAUGGCAUUCAGCACUCUUUACUAUUCAAUGGUUUGGGGGCCUUUAAAAAUCAGAAAGCAAAUGCUAUGAUCCAAUGGUGAGCUCCCGUAAAUAGGUUUAAUUGUAAAACAUCACAUUUAUUCCAGAUGUGAAGACACAUGAGUUUUGCCAUUUAAGUAGAAAGACAAAGCAUAAUUCUAUCAAUGCAUAUUUUUCCUUUUCUUUUCUUUAUCUUUGUUGUGGGUUUUGUUGUUCACCUCUACACAGCUUCAUUGUCAAAGAACUCUACCAAGUGGGAGCACUGGAUUUACCUCUGCUCUCAGUGAUGCGGCUGGUUUACGAAUACCCAGAUGAUUUCACAUUUGUAGACCCAGGAUAAACUUUAAGAAAUGUCCACAUCUAGACCAGGAAGAAGUUGGCUUCAGGUGCAGAUACAUCAGGGUAGACCCACCACAGUCUCCCACACAGUCACCCCAUCCACAAUCACCUUCCCACACUGCCACACACCUCAGAAAGAUGUUUUCUCCCAGGUGGUAAAGACAGCAGCUGCUGCUCUUGUACUUGAACCUGGCCUCCAACACACACACACACACACACACACACACACACACACACACACACACACACACACAGUGCAUUGCAGGAUAGGCAGCCUAGGGCAUCCCUUUGCAUGUGGGGCUACCCUCAUUCAAGGCAUCACCGAGGGCUCAGGGAUCAGAAGCCACGAGGGGCAUCUUCACAACCAAAAGCAGGAGGAAAAAACGUCUCCGCAGCACCCAAUUUGAUGCUGGCUCUCCGCCCCUACAUCAACUUGCACAGCCAAGCCCUCAAGGCUGUGCACACUGGGCCAGCCUACCAUCAGUAGAGCAGGAAACCAAGCUACUAGAGAGGCAACCAAGGUUGUUUUGAAAGCGUUAUUAUUAUCAUUAUGAUUUUAAUGUAGUAGACUUGUGAGUUUUCCAUCAUUAUAAAUCCAGUCUGAAUUUUCAUUUUUAACGUUUACAAUUUGACUAUUCAGAAUGAAAUCUUAAGCAGCAAAGUUUGGAACAAGAUGAAUACUGCCAGUUGACUUACACCUCCCGCAUAUAAACAAUUGUGUCAAGUUAGGAAAACUAAUAUAAUUUAUGUAAAUAUCCUGAUUUCUUUGAUAUCAACAUAACACGAUGAAGGCUUCAAAUUCAGACACAAGUUUCCAACACUGCAGCAUUGAGACAGCUUUCCUUCAAGCACCUUCCAAACCCAAAAGAAUGGGCAAGGGGCGUGAAGCCUGAAUGGGAAGUGACUUACCACUGGGUUUUAGGUUUGGAGGCCUAUGGCCUCUGGUAUAUGGAACUUCCCUGAAAUCUGCCCCACCAGCAUUCUGCACCAACUCUCUGACACAACAGUCCCUCUGUCUCCACUACCAUUGCUUCUAAAACAAGGGACAACCCCACUUAGAAAGGCAAAGUAUCCUUGCAUUAUGUAGGCCAAGUCCAGAGGGGAAAACCCUUUAAAAUUAGAGAAUCUCUGGGUAUAGUGAUUCCAUGGAAGCACAGUGAUUUUUUUUUUAUUUUUUCAAUUCCGUAAGUGGAAAGUGAAGAAACCAUUUUCAUAUGAGCAUAUUUUUCUCCAAGGAACAGUUAGAAAAAUGCUGAUGUGGUGUCUCAAUACGUUUUACUACAAUGCCAUCAAUUACAUAAAAACAAAAUUAAGUCACUGUUUCAAAAUCCUUAAAUAUUAUUCAGCUAAAACCCAAAAGGACAUUUUCAGUAUUCCUCGGUCAUUAUCUAAGAAGCUCCGCGCUGUAGCCAGCCACCUCCGCUGUGCUCCGUAGGAACUAAACAUAGGUAGUAUACGGGCACAGUGCCUCUGUGUCUUGGCCGUUGGGCUCUCUGAGCGACCUCAGGUAAUGAGGAUGCCUAUGGAGAGGGCUUCCGCAGUCCGGCCACAGAGCCAGGCUUUACACCCUCAGUGCUUUCACUGGUCGGGACCGGCCAGGGAAUGACAUGUGAACUUAGGCUGGUCUCAGUUUUCCCGUCCAUCCAAUGAGGCUGUCCCUGCAGAUGAAUUUAAAAGGCUGUGAUCCUAUGAAUUUACCUAUUUGCUGUCACCCAGAGACUGAAAUAAAAAAGGCAAAGAUGUCUGAGAUGAAUACAGGGAUUCAUAUGCUUUCAUAUCCGUAUCCAUUUUUGUUGAUGCAUGGAGGCUUCUGGGUGCCUGCUGAGCGAGAGAAGGGGUUGCUGACUGUGAUGCUGUCCUACCUAAGCGCUGACGGCCAGAGACAUCACGCGCGCACUCCCACGCAGCUGUGGGAAGCGAAAUGUGUGUGAUCUUUUUGGAGAACAGUUUGGAUAUUUAUCAUUUUGUUAACCUGAACAUACCUUUUCAGCUAGCAAUUCCGCCUGUAGGACUGCAUCCCACAAGGAUGUAAGUGGAAGGACAUUACUAUACAAAGGCGUGUGCAGAAGGAUGUUCACUAUGGUACUGUUUGUCAAAGAAAAGACUAGAAGCAACCAGAAUGUCCAUGCAGAGGGUAACUCAUUCACUAGAGUCAAACGUGGCCCUUAAAAAGUAUAAGGCAGCUCUGUGCAACAAAAUAUGGUAGGAUAUAGCAGCUGAAACCUAACAUGAUAUAAGAUGAUGACUGAGAUACAUAGAUUUGCCACCAUUUUAUUAUGUACAAUGUAAUAUACACAGCAAAGUUUAAAGAAUUUUGCCUGUACACCCAUCACCUAGUUUAAAACUUUAACAUUCCGCUUUAUUUGCUUUAUCACAUAUAUACCCAUCAUUCCAUGUAUCUUAACUUUUGGAUGCAUGUCAAAGUAAACUGCAGAUAUCCAAAGUAUAUUCUUAGACAAAAACAGGUACAACAUGGAGUGUAAAGUGUGGAUUUCUCAUUUAAAAUAUUUAAAAUAUACUUUUAAUUUAAUGGCAAAACUGCAAUUACUUUUGCACCAACAUAAAUAUCUAGAAGACUAUACUACAAACUGGUAUCGGUGCUUGCCCCUAGGGAGAAGAACUGAGGAGCUGGGGUUAGAAGAAGACUCUCUUUUAACUGCAUACCCUUUGAUUCUCUUGAAUAUUGCAUUAUGGACAUCAUUUUGUUUAAUUUAAAGAAUGACAAUGCAUCCACUUUCAUGAGAGAAAGCUACUGUCAAAUCUUUCAGGGCUCUAGGUAGCUUCUGUAGAGCAGCCCUGCAUGCUUAGAAGCCUGGCGCGUGUGUGUGCAUGUGCACACGUGCCUGCGUGUGUCUGUGUGUGCAUGAGCACGCGUACACACCCACACCCAGAUGCUCGGAGCCUGCACAGUGAGGGUGGUGCUGACCUCCCCUCAUCUAUCGCUGUAAGUCACUUUCUCAUGGGGCUGAAACCUCGGAGUGUGAAGCAACCAUCUUCAGGAGGCUCAUUAUUUAAUUUCCAAGUAAGCAGCUGCAAAAGACAGCAUGUUUGUUGCUGUUAGGGAGAACGGAGCACAUGGAAGACAGGAGGGAAAGGCAGUUCCUCUGCUCAGGGUAGCUCUGCACUGCGAGUGCCCAUGUCUCAGUCUCCCUUACUGUAAACAUUUGUGCAACUUCAAAUAAAUAUCCUCCCCAAGUCUCACGCAGCCUUCGGCUCUGAUGGAAACCCUAUGUGUGCCCCAGUGUGCCAGUGUGCACAGGCCAGAGAAGCAUGCAAAUACAGGGGAGAAGUCCAGCUCCAUGUGAGGAACGCCAGAGAAGGCAUCCUGGAGAGAAGUGAGCAGUCCAGAAUGUAGACUCUCCUUCCUUACAGCACUCAGCCAGGCUACUGAAAGGCAGCAGCUUUCUGUUUCAUUAAAAAAAAAACCAGCAGAGGAGUAAAAAGCCCUUAGAAAAAACAUAGAAUUAAACAUGAUCAUGAGAACAGUACUGUAAGCCAAACCUUCAAAGGAAAAAAGAAUAUUCCACGGCAUUACUGGAUGUGUUCGACCAAUUCCCUUCUUCCCUGAGACCUGUAGCUCGAGGUUCUAGACUUUGAGCCUCUGGGCUACCGCUGCACAUUUUUGAACAGCGAUCAAUUUCCUUGUGUGUUUUAAACCCUGGGAAUCAUAUUCUACAUGUGAGAGAUAGUAAAAUAGAUUUUAAAAAUUGAGGUAACUGAAUAUGUGGAGUUAUGUCAACAUGUCAGAAUAAAUACCUGAAAUCCUUACUUUUCUACAUAUGAAAGGGAUCUGAUAUCUAAUGAGAGGGAAGGAAAAUGCACUUUGUUAGCAUUCUGCUUUAUUCUUGAAAACAUGCAUAUAAGGCUAGUUUUAAAAAUCCCUCUGAUAAGAAUAAGACUGUGAGAACACUGAUUUCCACUAGGUGAUACACAUAUGUACCAUACAUAUACAUACAUAUGUAAGAAUACAUAUAUGUACACACAAUACACGUAUACACGCAUAUAAAUAUACAGUGUAUAUGUAACUGAGCCAGGCAGUAUACUUAAAGGCAAUAAUAUGAUAGUAUGAAGGCAAUUUGUAUCUUACCACAUAUUGAAAUAAAACACCCUGCACAGCCCCUAAACCUCAAAAUCCAAUACACAAAAUGAAACGAAUUGCACUGGGAAAAAAAAUAAAGAAAUGAGAAAAUGAACUACGAUAUUCUCUUAUUUGUUUAGUGUUCUCUUUCUCUAGAGUUUACAUGGACAUUGUCUCUAGUUGCAUCUGCAAACCAAUACAUCGGCUGUCAGAUCACUAAGGCAUUUGACAACAUCAUUCUAGAGCCUUUAGUUACUGAGAUAUCAAUAAUUAAAUGCAUUCAGUUCACACUUUGUUCUUGCAGAUACCAGCUAUUUAUCUCUGUCCUCUGAAGAAGCUAAUGGUAUAAUGGGCAAAACAUCAAGAAUAAUUAAGAAAAACGUUGCUACAAACUCUGUCAGAAGAAAUAUAACUUUUGCCCAGGCCCCCAGCUAGAAUUCAUUUAUACAAGAUCCACCCAAAACCAAGGCACCUUUGCUGAAAAGCGAAGUGCUAGGCUCAUGGAGCAGGGAACUCACUCACUCUGUCCACCUGAGGGGAAGACCAGUGGGCACUUCUCUGAGUGUGAGCCUUGAAAAGCCUUGGGUGUGUGCAUAUAGCAUCAGCUAUAAAACAGCGGGGACUGCGGGCCACGUUGGCACCUCUCCCACACCAGGGAUGGGCUCUGGAAGGCCAGCCCAGGCUGACAAAUGGCAGCAGGACUGACUUGCUUCAGUGGACUGGCCCCUGCUGAUGGAGCCCAACCUUCCUGCAGGCCAUUCACCUCCCAGCUGAGCCAUCCAUGUUUCAAAGCUUGUUUGCAGCAUUAGCUGGUACCAAAACAGAAGUUCUGAGAACAUCUUAUUCAAGGAAUGGCGGGUUAAAUCUUAACAGGUCUAUUUUUCUUUAGUAGAGAGUGUCUCUCUCCUUUCAUAUCCAAUAACAAAUAAGAAGAGAGAAACUGUGAGGUGUUUUCUUCUUUAGGUAAGGGUCAGGCCUAGAUGGUAUAUAAACUCCAAACAGAUUAUAUUUUAAGUUGGUGACAAUUAAUUACAAUACCGUAUACAUACUGCAGAUAACACAAUUUAAGAUUAAAGAAUUAUCUGGAGCCAUAGUAAUGGGAGAUGACUUUGAAGAGGCAGCCUUCCAGAUAAGCCAUGUCACAUAUCUGCAUAUCCUUUCAAACAUCUUUGUCACCUAAGCGGGAGUGGCUCCCAAUCACUGUUCACCAAUCUCACUUGCGGAAGAGUUGGUAGUCAACUUCCUGUACAGGGGCCGUGUGAGCUCCUGGAUGUCUACCUUAAACUUCAAAGAGCCACAUUUACAGAAAAUGAAAUGCUCACAUUUCAUCAUUAAAUUACACUAGGCUCCCAAUCUUCAUGCGGCACAUGUAUUGCACUGAAAACGGAUAUUUGUUAUUAAUGACAAAGAUAUGGAAAAUGUGAAGUUGAAAUAAGCUACCCAAACUUAAGAGAAAGAAAUGUUACAGGAACUGCUUUGUCAACCCUAAUUGUGUAAUUACUUCUUGGCUUGGUCACCCAAGCUCCGAGCAAGAAAUAAGAGACAAUGGUAAUUUCUUACUACUGAAAUGAAGGUGUCACGCUGCCUUGUGCAUUCUGUGUAAGCAGGGCUAAAGUUUACAUUUAUAUCACGUUACCUCCAUUACAAUCAUCCAGGCCACUGCAAGAACUUAGUGGUAUAAGGUCAGCCCUGGCAAUGGGCACGCUCAAGUUUACUUGCACAAACAUUUAAUUUAGGCAGAGUGGAGGCAUCUCUGCUUUUGGUCAUCAUCUUACCCCUCACCUCACACCGGUGAAAUUGGUGAACUGCUACUGGCAACUUGCAGACUCACAGCAAUAAAAUAGUGUUUUUAAAUGGUGCUAAUACAGUGGCUACCAAUAAAAAUGAACCACUAGAUGGCUUUAGAUUUUUCACUUCUGAAUAUCGGAAGAUGCAUUAUUUAUGGUGUCAAAGCUAAACCUGGGUACAGCACUUGGGAGUGGGGGUGUUUGUGGAGAGAGAGGCAGGAACACCGCCCUGUGUAACUCCAUCCCUUUCUCUCUUCACUCCACAGUUCCCCUUAUAGCUCGAUAAUUAAUUACAAGGCCGCAUAAUUCUAUCUUCAGUCCCAUCAGCGUUGGGUCAACUAAGAGCAAGGAUCACAUGCCAAAAUUGUUGUGUGUUUUUUUUCCACACCAAGUAUGAACCACUCCUCAUUCUAAUGGAAAAAAGAGCGCAGACACACAACUAGGAAGAGAAAAAAAUGAAAUUCCAUUAUAACUGGUUUCCUCAAGCUCCAGCCUAGGAUAUGAGUAAUCAUAAAAACUGUAAUAUCAGCUUUUUUGUUUUCCUUAACACUGGGUUCCUACUUUAUUUCCUUUCAAAGAGGGUCAAGAUCCUUUUUUUUUUUUUAAUUCAUAAAAGCUGCUGUGUGAUAACCAAAAGGUUGGUUUCUCUCUGUAAUAGCUCUGCCUUCCGUGAUACUUUUAAAUUUGGGGGCAAAAAUAAAACUCGCUAAACUCUCAACAGCUGCCCUGAGUGAACUUGAAGCCCCUCACCUGCCUGGCCCUCAGGCCUUCUGGAAACAUCUAACGCCUAGCAGGGGUGGAGCAGUGAGCUGACCGGCAGGCAUGGACCAGGAGCUGCUAGCACAGGCCUCGGGAGGUGGCCUCCGGGCUGCUUGGCCGUACCUUGAGGACUGGCCUGACGGCUCCCAAUGCCCGAGCUCCCAUGUGAAGUGCAGGGAGGAGCAGGUCAGUGGCCACAGCAGCCUGGCCUGGCCUGGGUCACACCCUCGGUCAGCAUCGCCCCAAUGUCACUCUCUAGUUCUGUUUUCUCCUCCCUACCCACUCCCACCUUAACCAGCCACAGGGAAUGGCGGGGUGCAAAAUGGAGGCUGUUGACCUGCUGUGUGAUCCACACCUCCCUCUGGGCUCAAAACAUCAAUGUGCUUUUAACAAGGAGCCAAGUGCUGUUUAAUCCUUGGGCGGGGGGAGGAAAGUCCAGAACACCUAUGGGUCAUGAAGCAGCCCACGCUGAGAAGGCGACCCCAGACCCCAGACGGAGGUGUCAGGAGCUUGUUUUCCCAGCACUUCCUGUUGGCAGGGUCACAGCUCUACCGAGAGAAGGUGGGCCGUACCCCAGGGCACAGGAAUCAGCAUUGACAUGCCCAAAAACUGACAUGCAUGCUUGUCCCCCACAGGCACGGGCAUGUCCCCAGUCACCAUGGUGGCAGAAGGACAAUGGGAAACGCAGGGCCUGCCAGGCAAAUUCUAGCAAAGACGGGCUUCCUAAAAUCUCCCUUCUACAUGAGAGCUGCCCAACCCAACGGCAGAGUUAUGACUCACCGAAAGGGAUACCCCCUCCUUCCCUCUAAGGACUGAAGGAGGGAAACGGCGCAUGUAACCCUGGCCUAAGAGAGACCCCCGGGCUGAACCAAAGCAUCAGAGAUUCAGAGGGCACGCGGGGAAUGUGGACAGAGCGACACCAGGCCUUCCUGAGCUCACCUGUACCAGAGCCUCAGGAAACAUGUCUGUAAAACCGCUCUCAUAGUAAGCACUUUAUUAUCUACUUUUGGCGCAGUGAUGAGUUAAAGGGGCAUUAAUUUUCUUUCAUAGCCUGGAAUAGCUUAUUUAUCAUUUUUUUUGUCUUUGUCACUGAUAUUUCAGAUCUGCUGCGAAUUGCUGUUUUUUUGUUUUGUUCUGUUUUGUUACUGUUGUUUAAUUAAUCUGCACUCAUACAACCACCAAAACAAUCACGGUCCUACUGGUACCAGCAGAUGUGGCCGAAAUGUGCCCUGAAACUUCCCAACUGCAGCUCGACCCUGCUUGCAGUGCUGUGUCAUAACGAAGGGAAGUCAACUCAAGAUGCAUUUUCUGGAAAUGCCAUGGACGCACAGAGAGAAGAAACUACAAAUAGUGUUGCAAGGAAGGAGGCCAGCGGCUGCAUUCACUGUGUCACUGCGGCCAAGGUUUCUGGGUACCUUAUGUUCACCACCUGCCACCUACUGUGGUGUCAGAGCUGUCUGGUCCAGCCGGGACAGUCAAUUGAUUUUCACAGAACGUCCAUUUUAUGUUUCCACACCAGAGCACGCUGCACCUUCGUAAGGAGGGGUGGCUGCUUCUAAGGGCAGAGCGGCUGGGCCCCAGCCAAGCCUGCCUCCCUGACUGCAGAAGAUGUCACCUCCCCCGGGCACUUUCUUCUGGGCAGGGGCAAGGAGGAGGAAGGGAGAGGAGGUACGUGAAGAAGAUGUCCCCCAUAAAACCAAGGGUGUUCCCUUCUCAACCUCUCCCUUUUCCCCCUCUAACUGAGUCUCCAAAAAAUGCAUGUUUCCAUUCACAAAAAGUAUGCAGAAUCACUGAUGGGAGCAAAAGAAGACCCUUUUUCCUAUUACAGGCAAAACCUAGGCUGAUUCUCUUGCUUCCUUCAGCUGUCAAUGAGGUGGUGUGUUCCCGGCCUCCUGACAAUAUAAUCAUCAUAAACUUUAUUAUUACAUCUGGAAUUUCAUGAUAUGUUUAGUAAUUGAUUACAGAGACACAACCCAGAAUGCGGCUCCCACUCGCUCUGCCACGAUUCCAGUAACCUAACUGCUUAAUACCCCUGGAAUGUAUAAACAGUGUUAACUGCUGCAUUCCCCACACUGCCAUGGCAGAAGGGAACCACGGAGCUGGUGGGGCUCUGAAAGCUCAAGGCCAUUUUCACUUACUGAAUAUAAUGUCAUGGGAUAGAAACUGAGAUCACAUUUUUUGGAGCCACGAUGACCGACGACCCCUCAUCAGAUGUGAUUGGGGCACAAAUCCACUAAAAUUAUCAGCUGUAUUGGGGAACGGAGAUGUGCCAUGAAGUUUGCACAGGGCCAUCACCCAUCCCUACUUAGUCUCAGUUUGGUGGGGACUCCAGUUUAGGGGACUGUGAUUACUGGGGUUCUUCAAAAAAGCUGCACAACUCGCUAUUUCUAAUUUUAUGAACACCGUGAUAUGAAUGCAAUGCAAAGCAGAGAAAAAGCCAUAUUGGGUCAGGCCUGCAAUUACAGUGGCUAGUGCACUUACUAUCUCAUAGGAAUAAAGGCAAAAAACAAAAACAAAACAAAACAAAACAGGGGUAGGCCAGGCACAUGGCUCACACCUGUAAUCCCAGCACUUUUGGAGACCGAGGAGGGUAGACUGCUUGAGCCCAGGAGUUCGAGACCAGCCUAGGCAACAUGGCAAAACCCCAUCCUACAAAAAAUAGAAAAAUUACUCAGGCAUGAUGGUGUGUGCCUGUGGUCCCAGCUACUCAGGAGGCUGAGGUGGGAGGACUGUCUGAGCCCAAGGAGGUCGAGGCUGCAGUGAGCCAUGAUCAUGCCACUGCACUCCAGCCUGGGUGACAAGGGAGAUCCUGUCUCACAAUAAAUAAAUAAAUAAAUAAAUAAAUAAAUAAAUAAAUAAAUAAAUCCAGGGGUGAAGGCCACACUCAAAGUGUCUGGGAGUUGGGGCCUCAGAGAGAUCUACAUGAACAGGGCAUUUGUUCCCUCCCACUCCCACCAAGGGAGGGCGAAGAGCAAUGCAGCUGCCCUCCCUAACACUACUCCAACUCAGGAGGUUAUGACCAAGGACAUGCGAGCCCCUCUCUGGGUGAAAAUCAGCUCCAUUCCCCCUGCAGAAACGCUCCCACUCAGCUCUUGUGCCUACACUCUCCCUCCUGUAACAAGUCAAUUUACAAAAACCAGACCCAUCUCAGCAAGGGGACCUGGAUCGGCCCUUUUCACCCGCAUAUCAUCUUGAACCCAAACAGUCCCUUGAACCAGCAAAUCCUCAGCCAACCCCGUGGCAUGCAGAGUGUGUUAUCUCUCCAGGCAGAUCCACUUUAUAAACCACCAAAGAAGCCCCAUGGAAGGUUCUGCUUGCAACAAAAAAAACAAACAUGCUGAUGUCACUCCAACCUGAGCUCUUGGGCCCCAGUGAUGGGGCCCGGGGGACUUUACAGUGGGAUGCUUGUCCCAGAGCUGCCUCUCCAGGCCAAGUGAGCCAUCAUCCUGGGACCACCUGGACCAGCCAGGCCCCCAUGAAACUUGGCCAGCGCGUUCCCGUUAAAAAUGGUCCUGCCAUUCACCUCAGCCAGGUUCCCGCACGCACGCUAAUAAGUACUUGUUUGUUGAACUGAAAAAUCAUUACCACAGAACACGUCAAGUAAUGAAAGAUGUUUUCCUUGCAGAAAUGUUAAAUACUCCACUUCUUUCACAAGGAGCGUGUACGUGUGUUUCCAAAUAAUACCUUGCUCCCUCCCCACCCACACUACAUCAGAAAGUAUGGAGCUCCAAGACCCAAUUUGAACAGGGCUCAUGUUGCACGGCUCUAAGAACCAAGAACAUGCUGUUAUUUUAUUUAUUUUCCUUUGCCCAGCUGACUACGUGUUUGUUCUAUUAGUUAUUCACCUAACCAUCUCGGUAGGAACCUCCGUCACUGUCACGUAGGGGAGGGUCCACUCUGCCUUAUGAUUUUAUACAGAAAAGCAAGAGAAAAUAACACCACCGCAGCCUCAUCUAUUACACACCCAUAGUAUUUGCUAACUAAUAUAUGUGAAAGAGCCAUUUUACUACAACCUCAGAGCAGAAACAAAGGCAAGAAAUGGAAUGGGAACAUUUCACCACAUGAAAACCACUGAUAACCCAUCUUCUCCUCUGGCAAAUAUGAAUCUCUGCCCCCUUUCAAAAGCUUUUUGUUAGGCAGAUGAGUAAUAACAAUUGCGUCUUAUGCAAUGCACUGAGGUCUUUUAAGUGUUUUGGAAUGUCUCUACCUACAGGGAGUCACACUGGUUAAUUUCUGCUGCCUUUCCCUCUCAUCCUAAGGCUUCAGGCAAAGCCAGCAGGGUGGGGGCUGAGCCUGCUUUGAGUCUAUGGCAGCUGAGUUAGGAAAAACCAAAAUGACUUCCAGGUAACCUUGUCUCAUGGAACUCCAGGAGGCAAAUACACAUCACUUAGAUAGAACACUCAAAUAUCAAGUUGAUGCGGGGGUCAGUGGAGUCUUAGGUUUUCUCACCAUAACAUAUGGCUUUGAAUGUGGUGGCUCUAUCCUGCCAUGCCCCCUUGAGACAUAAGAGACCUAUGUUUAUGCCUGGCUCCCAUGUCAGAGAAUCCAUAACCUGGGGACGGAGAUGCUGAAAUCCUGGCCAAAAUGCACACCCACAGAAGCCAAAUCUCCUCUAAAGAAUAAGCAAUCAUCAUCCCUUCUUCCUGCCCUCUCUCUGUCAUGUGUUCAGUGAGUCACUCAAAAAGCUGCCAGGGGUUACCUGGGGGAGCAAGAAACACAAGAUCCUGACCAGGGCUCCAGGAAAAAUGACCUGCGUGAACUUCUCAAAACUUAAAGACUUUCCCUCUUCUUCACCCAUUGCUUGUUUUCCCAUUUUUAAGAGGGAGCAAAUCUCACUCUAAUUUUACUAGCAUUAAAGGUUGACAUUUUUUAUAUGUGAAUUCACAAAUCUACCAUAAAUGAUUCACGGGAUCUUUCUUCCUUUGCCCUUCCCCGACGAACCGCCACAUUUUGGAACUGCGUUGGCUGACAUUAAGCAAAGCGCUUUCUCAGCAAUUAUUUGGAAAGGAGAGAUGGCAACUACAAGAAUUUCUCUCUGAGGAACAGAGGAGCUACCCUCACGGCCCACUUCCAAAUGGCCAGGUCUCACGGAAGACAGGAGGGCCUCCUCCCCUGCCCGGACACUGCCAUCCACCUGAAGCUCUCAAGCCCUGGUCAGGCAUCUACUGGAAUCUCUGGCAUUCCUGCAGCACACCCCGUUGUUGGUCUAGAACAGGUACUGACUGCCCUGGAAAAUACUGACCUUAAGGACCACUGCUGUGUGUUCAGAAAACUCAAGAGACUGGUUGUCUCCCACUCAGACUUGUGAGCUUAGAAGGCCACCAAGGAGAUUCCGGCUCAAGAACCCAAAUCGUCACCUGAAGUCGAAGCCACUCAUUUCCCUAAAGGCCAAGUUCUGAUAAGGAACACUUGCCCCAGCCUCCUGAACAGGUGAGACCUCUGUGAGGGUACCAGCAGGCCUGGCAGGUGCUUUUGCUUAUCUGGGUCUCUCUCUACAUAUAUUUCUCUAUCCCCAAAAGGCCAGAGCUGUGUCACCCCCGUGGGCUCCAAGUGCAUUCAUUACAGAAGGUGGACGUCACACCAUGAGGUGCAGCCACCUGAGAUUCCUCUGGGACUCUUGGCAAAAAAUCCCCGGUGCUGUGACAGGGAGGGAGUCAGGGACGGAGUCCCUAGUGCACUGAUCUGGCGUUCCCUGAAAACGGUGUCCCAGCUCAAAAAUGUGUUGCUUUCUUCCUUUUCAUGAAUUCUAAUAUUCAAGCCUUUUUUCCUCCUGCUAAUUUUAGAAGUCCUGCUAUUCUUUGGGAAGAGAAUGGUGUGAAAAUCAAGCAUAGUAUCCAAAAAUAAAAGAGUAGAUCUGUUUCAGGGUUUGCAGCAUAUUUCACUGAAAAGCAACUCCAGAUAUGCCACUUUCUAUCUAGUUUUUAAUACAUUUUCCAAUUCCUCCAGAAUAUUUUAGCUUCAGAAAAAGCAAGAACGAACUUCCUGAACUAUGACAAUUUUUUUUGAGGCUGAAAGGGGCACCCAGAAUGGUCUUUAAACCAUGACUGGGGGCCUUUUCAGAAUGUGACGCCAGGUUAUCGCUCUCUGGCUGGGACUCUGUAGUGCACUUUGUGGGACCACACGGAGACAGAUUCGAAGUAGGAUGGAUGGAUUCUCUAGGUCCUUGAGCAUGUUCCAGUUAGGCAAGAGGCCAGAGGAGAUGCAUAGCUUACUCUGAGCAUCUUGACGGUGGACCUCAUGGAAUGUCUUUCAAGCUUCCCAUCUUCAUGUUUUAAAAAAUCCGGUUAUCUAAGGAACGAAGUUUCAGACCCACCAGAACUGUAGAAGGGCAUCGGAUCCUGGUCAGCAGGGUCUCACUCCAGUUCUUCGGGGUCUGAGACUCUCUGGAAGAGCCAAGAAUGUGGGCUGGGGAGUGGAGGGAACAGAUGCGGGGCACCAGUGGAUACCUGAAGACCCCAGCCUGUGCCUCCUCACCAGCCAGGAAAGCCAGAGAUUUUUAACAAAAAGUUAGAACUUUGUGUCAAGCCCUUCAAGCAAACAAUAAAUAUUACUUCUGUUCAUAAUCAGACUUCUCUCCAGCAUCGUCUUUGAAUGUUGAACCUUUUUCAAUUAAUUAAAAACUAUGCACUGCAGAGUGCAUAUUUUAUCAGCCCUCAGCUGCUUAAGUGUCUAGAAAAGACCAGGCAGUUUUUCUUUCUUUCUUCCUUUCUUUUUCUUUUUUUCUAUUUUUUUUUUUUUUUUUUACAGGCAACCCAGAGCAAGUACUUGCAAGGGUCAUAUCUUUUUAAUUAUCUUUUCUCUCUUUGAUUAAUUAUUCCGUCUGACAAUAGCGUGUUUCUAAUGCUAUUCACCUGCCUUUGAUGAUUGACAACUUUUCUGUCUGAUUCAGAGCAAACAGCUGCUGCCACAAUCUCCUAGCAACCCGGGUGUGAUGGAUGAGCCCCCAAGAUGGAUGGCUGCAAUAAAUCAUGUCUCCAGCCAUAAAACUGAGAAAAGGGGAUAAGAAGAAAAGCGAACAAAAAACAAAACAAGGUUUCUUCCCAUGAGUGCACUCAGUUCCUUACCAAUUAUACCUGAAAUGGACUUUGCACCUAUUAAUAGCAAAGUUUUUCUAAUCAGUAAAAAUGGGAUGAUGGCAUUUGUAUCAAAGGUGUUUACAAUUGUUCCUGCAAAUUGGCACUUGUACUCCAAUCACCUUCAACACUGCCCAAGUGCAAGGGCAGAUGAUCAAAGUUUUGCCUUCUUCCACGAAGUCUCAGCAAGGAACAACAUCACCUUUGUACCACUGGCUACAAUUCCAGGCACCAACAAAGAAUACCAAUCUGAUUCUACCCAAUUUUUGGCAGCAGCUGGACAACACCAAAAGUAAAUUCUAAGUCAUGCUGAAUGCAGUGCAAAGUGUUAGGCUGCGAAUAAAGUUAUUUCAAAAUAAACACACACACACACACACACACACACACACACAAAGUUGCCUGGAGUUGAUGAGUGAAUCAGUACCAUUUCCAUUUCUUUCCUGUUCAUGGCAGUUGCAGGCGUUUUACAUGUCAGGGAAAAGUUUGUCCCAGAAGCAGCAAGAUAGGAACAUUCAGCCCUUUCACAAAUUCUAGAUUCUCAUUUCUUUAGGUAGAAAAACUCUUCCGUUCUAACUUUCUAUCCCAUCAUUCUUAAAAAUUAAUGUCCACACUGUAAGUCAUACAACAAGCCUUUGAUUUCAUUAGCAACCCCAAAUAAAGUCACAUAUUUAAUAGAAUCCCUGCCAAUUAAAUUUGCACUAUCGGGGCUCUCCCAGUAGUGUAGAUCCAGCAGGAAGGCCUAGAGUUUCUGCUUUCCUUUUUCCACCAGGGAAGCAGGCUGCAAGGCCUCUUGCAGCAGAAGAGGUGGAAAGGCCAGAGCUUCACCGACUCCUCAGGCAGCUGGGGGCUGUGUCAGUGAACCAGGCUGCGUCCCUGAGUACUUCCAGUAGGUGGGGGUGUCCUGGUGCACACAGCUCAAGGGUGCAAACCCAGAAGCGAUUAACUGGCAGGGCUUGGGAACAGCUGUCCACAUCAGGCCUGGUGGGGGUCUGCUGGGGCCCUGCAGAGGGGACAGAGCUCAGACACAAAGGGGAAGAGGCUGCUGGGAGCCCGGGCAGGGAGCCGCAAAAGAUUAUUUUUUAUCUGAAAUAUUCCUGAGACGUGGAAGUCUUUACGUUUCUUCAUUCUCACACUACUAACCAAGCCAACCAAAAGAUUUUUUUAAUAGUUAUAUUGUGCUAAGCUUUUCAGAUACGGUGUUGGUUUUUCUUUUUUUUUUCUUUUUUUUUUUUUUUUAGCAUGACACGGAGUUUAAAAAAAAUCAGACAAGGGUUCUGGCUUCAGCAACUGCAGCUCUGUUUAUAUUUUAAUGUUUUGUACGUGACUGCUUCUGUGGGGGAAGAAAAAGAGGGAGAGAGAAAGUUGCCUGUGAGCUUUAGUGUAAAUCACAGAUACUUCAUUUUUCUCUGUGUCCUUGGAAAUUAUUCAAAAUUAAAGCCUUCCUCCCUCCAUCUUUUUUUUCUUUCUUUCUUUCUUUCUUUUUUCUUUUUUUUCCAGUGGGGGAGUCUUCUGUAUUGCACAUGCGAGGGUUUGUGUCUGGUCAGCUGCAAUGAGAAGGCAAGGCCAAUCGAUAGAAACACACACACAGGCCCCUACCCUGCCCCAGCUUGUCCGACUCUCAAGUUACAGGUUUACACGGCAAGUCUAAAUAAUAUUCAAAAUGAUAAAUGGUACCCGAAGCCCGGCAUCCACCAUCAAUCUUUUUUUAAGGAACAUCCAUCUUCAAUAACGCACGUUUGAAUCAUGUGAAGUCAGGAGCCCUGAGAUUCAUUUCUACCACCCUUUGCAAGCCAGGGUGGCUUGAAUGAUACCUGUCAACCUUUUUCUUUUUUCUUUUUUUUUUCUCUCCCCUUGACUAAUGGGGAAAAAAAAAGGCAGGGAAAAGAGAAAAGGAAUGAGAAAGGGGGGAAAAAAAGUCAGAAGAGUGUCAAAGGCUGAACAGUGUGGUUUAGCAGAUAAUAUGAAUGAGCAUAACCUCUCCCGUGCCUCUGCCAAUCUCCCACCCGCCACGCCACGCACCCAGCCAUCCAGAAGCAGGCUCUACCCCCUUCUCCCCUGCCCAGCCUCUUUCCUCCCUUUCCCUCUUGCCAAAUCAGCAGAGCUCCCUCCUGCAAGCCACAGGGUACAGUACCAAGAGGAGGAAGAGACAGCCUCACAUGGACCUGGGCUUCCCUCCCCUCCCCGUAGUCUGGCUGGGGCCCAUAUGAUAAAUGACAUAUGUCAUUCUGUCAGGAGGGAAGGGUGGGUCAGUGAUGUAUGACUCUGCUGAAAAGGAAAUCGACUGUUUGGCAUGGUGCAGCUCUUCUCCACCAGGAUUUAGUUUCAGAACUCUGAAAUGAAUUCUCCGACGUUUCAAGUGCAUACUUAGGGCAGGGUGAUGGGAGGCCUGGGAAAUCGUACUCCAUCCUCCCACUGCCCUUCCCAUGGCAAAAAGGAAAAAAAAAAGGGGGGGGCGUUCUGCUGCUGAUACCUGCAAAAGGCCACGCACGUGUCGAAGUCCCUAGCUGUCGCAACACCGUGGGUUAUUUAAAAAAAUUGACUUUAAAAAAAAAAAAAGAAAGAAAAGAAAUCAAGUGGAGUCAGGUUAGCCCUUUUAUUUAUUUAUUUUUUAAUGGCAAAGGGCUGACACAAAAGCAAGAUAAAAAUUAGCAUGUUUGAAGUAAUCGUCCCGCAGCUUGACAUCUGCAUAGUAAAUUUUAAAGGAAAAAAAUGUGUCAGACAGCCAUGAGCCGCCUCGCCCUCCCCCUUUCAUUAGCUCACUGCCAGGGUGGCACUGCUGAACCUCAUUAUGGCGAGAGGAUUUAUGAAGCUGAACCCAAUGGCAAAGAAAAGGCAUCUGUCAAUAAUUGUAGGGAGCUGCACUCACAGCUUUGAAAUCUCAUUAAGUAUGCAGUUAUCAGGCAUAAAGAUCAAAAACAUUACUCAACUCCGACAGAAUCUUAUGGAGGAACAUUAAUUAGCAACAGGCCUACAGUACAAAAAAAAAAAAAAAAAAAAAAAAAACCACAGACUUCCUCUCACACCUGCCCAACCCACAAACCUAAAGCAACACUCCCCCUCCCGCCUGAAAAAAAAUAAUUCCCAGCAUCUGAAACUGAUCAAGAACAUGAAACAAGAGAGACGCACACAGAAAAGGGGAAAGGGAGGGAAGGGGUGGGCGGCGGGCAGGGAGGAGGGGAGAGGGAGGGCGGGGAAAUUCAGUUGAGAAAGCCUUGGCGGUGAGGAGAGAAAAGGAAGAAGCUGUCAAACUUGAGAAGGAUGUCAGUGCGGGCCCUGAUUACUGGGGCCUAUGGAGUUCUCAGACCUUUUAUCAUCAUCACCAUCAAAACCAGUCUAGGAGUCACUACCGGGAGGACUGGGGGCUGCAGGUUUGCAGCCCAGGCCCAGGGCCCAGACCCCAGGACCCUCUCCUCCAGCCCCUGCUUACCUGGCAGGCAGGAGGCUGCAGGGCCAAGACCCAGGAGGCAGGCCCCGCUUUCCCCAGCCAGUCUGCACCCAGCCAGCUAAAGCUGGCAGCAAGACCUGCCUUCACAGGCUCUGGACACAGGCCAGGGAACCACUGCGUUCACCUUCCAUCUCUCAACCACUGUAACACACCUUUUUCUUCCUCCAAAGAGACUGCAGCAUCCCCUUCUCACACAGGCACCUUCUGUUAUUUGAUUUCUGUGUGCAAUCCCUUACUGAAAAAUACAAUAUAGAUGGGGGAAGGCACGUGGAAACUGCCAAGCUGACCCUGAGUCCCGAGGCCUCCAGACCUCUGUAACACUUGGGACAAGGUGCAGCUCAUUACGGGUGUCCAGCAGAUCCACACACUAGUUUGACUCUAGGAUCUCCAGGAAGGUAAAAUUAAAUGGCAAGUUUCCUACCCCACCACAUUCUAGCCUCUUGCAAGAUGCAUUGGCAAAGAGUAAUGUACAUAAUGUACAUGUGUUUCAGAAGCAUCCCACAAGUAUUGCGCACUUGGGGUCUCAGGCAAACUUCCCUGAUGUCCUGUGGUGGUCUGGAUCCAGGGUAGGUGCACAGAGGCCUGAUGGGGUGGGAGUGUGUCUCAAAUACCACACAGGUUUCAGUCCAACAGGCAACAUCAGCCACUCCCGGACAUGUCAUGCAACAGUGAGGCACCAUCUGUAGCCCCCACCCCCAUGAAAGGUGUAGGAAAAUAAUAAAGUAGAUAUCCUGCAUGUUAUUUCCCUUAUUGCACUGUUAUAGAAAGGUGGCCUUCUCUGUUCACCUGCUAGCAUGCACUCACUCUCUCUCUCUCUCUCUCUGACACACACACACACACACACACACACACACACACACACACAGCACUUCCCACAGUCCCACACCAUAAGAAAACCUACAGAACAGCUCCUUUGAUCCGAAUCCUCUGCUAGCAUUCUCCUGGCUCCUCACUCACUCCUAGGCCACAUUCUUCCCUGGUUCCACGGCUACUUCUGAAGUGUUUACCUCUCUGGUCUACUCAGAAGACAAUGGUCACCUUUUCAUAAUUAGCCACAUCUUUAAGAAAACGGGCAUUAAGAUUCCUAGGCAACCAGCUUGGAGAUCCCUCCAAACCAAGGCCCAUCUUUUCCAAUAAAUGCCUCUCCUUUAGAAUAUCAAUGAACACAGCUCGAAUAAACUGUCACCUAUGACCAAAAAUAGGAACACUUGUCUAUAAACCAGACUUGAUGAGAAGGCAUUUUAGCAGGAGUAUUACAAUAAGGUGUUUACAUUUUUUAUGUACUUACCAUAUUACCUUUAUUAUGUGUAACAUCAAAGUGAUUAUAGCAAUUACAUCUAACAGAAUUAAUUACAGAACUUCGUAUCAUUCCAGGAUACAUAAUGCAUUAGAGGUAAGCCAAAGAAAGAAAACAUCUUGAUUGUGGUAACUAUUGUUGGGGUGUAUUUUCUCUAGCAGCAAUGCCACACCAACGGCAGCUUUCUGAGCAAUGGAAACUGAGGGGUUUAACAGGGAAAAAGCUGUAUUCUCUUAAAAUUGAACUCAUGCUUUUUGCUUAAUAGUACGUUGGUGAUAGUGGACAUAUAAAAUCAAUUUAAUUUUUUAAGUGUAAAUCUUUAAAAGGUGCUGGUUAAUCCACCCAACCAAUGUUAAUACAUAAAGGAGAAAGCACAUGGGUGAAAGACUUACAAGUCUUUACGUAUGCAAAAUAAAUUCACUCAAGGCUUCAUUAAUAUUAAUUUAAAUUCAAAACCCAUUUACAUUAAAUUGUUCAUUAAAAAUUGCCUAUUUUAUGCAACAUGCAUUUCUCAAAGAACUCAGAGGAAACUGAAUACAUAGGACUAGAUUUAAUGAUGGGAAUGGAAAAUCAAAAGUAAAUGAAUUGGAGUCAUUUCACGUAUAUUACCAAACAGCCCUUUGCUCUCCAUUAAGGAUGGGUUCCACUUUGGGAAACAAAUAUAUUUUCUGAAUAUUGUGUUUUCCAUUGCUAUAAACUUGUAAACAUGACCUUCUGGCCUACCACAGAGGAAAAAGAAGAAACACAGAGAAACUGGUGGAAGGGAGAGGGCAGCCAAUCCAAAACCUGGCUAACAUUAAAACAGGGAUGGUUUGCCUUCGGAUCUCACCUGGAUUCACAGUGCAUUGAGAGUUAGGCUUGCGUUUUUAAAAAUGUACGUAAGUUAGCAUCUGCCAGUGCCCAUCUUGAUCUAGAACUAACAGUGUCUCUCUCCCCUACACUCUACCCUUUACAAUCCUUUAUUCUCUUAGCGAGGUGACCAGGAAUGCGAUGACAAGGAGUUGGUAAGUUCCUUGUGCCCUCCCUCCCGACAACAAUCUGAACUUACCCUGUUUCCCCAACAGCUGUUCUGGAUGAAGAAAACACAGUCAUAAUUAAUAACAUGUGUCCUGACAGUAUGAAUUAAUAAUUUAUCAUUAAGCCCAAACAAAUUUAAAUUAUUCUUCAAGAGCCACACCUUUGCAUAUCUGAGAAAAUAAGGUAAGGAGAUGGUUAAAAUGUCCAGGUAACGUGACCUUCAGUGAACUACUCGCCCCCACCCCCCGGACUGUAUCUCUUGGACUAUUCUUGUUGAAAUGCUAAAAUAAUUUACAGAAUUGAAAGUAAUUAAACCCAAGAAUCUAAAUGCUGAUCAAACUAAGUGCAUGUGCUAGAAAUGUCUUCUUUUUUAAAUGGGGCUUAUAAAAUAUUCAAUAUUUGGUCAAGGACACUCUGUAAUCUUUCUAAUAAAGAUUCCUAAACCUAGAGUAUGACAGUUGUUCAGGCAAGUGGUCAUAAGAAGAUUAUGUUCUAUUACUGUCUUUUUUUUUUUACUUCCAAAAAUGCAUAGCGUUAUUCUGGUCACAAACAGUGACCUGAAUUUUUAAGUCCAUUUCUAAGCGUAAAUUUCUACAAAUGGUGAAAAAUUAAGAAAAGCUACCAAGUCUAUGUCUCCAGUCCUUACAAUUCAGGUUUUUUUUUUGUUUUUUUUUUAAAGAAAAUCCAGAAACAGGGGAAAAAUAUUGAUAGCCAUUGUUUAGUGGGAUUUAAAAAUUUAGUGACUAAUUGCAAAUACUGGAAACUGGAAUUAAUCUGUCUGGAUUUUUUUAAAAAGGCUUACAGACAUUUAAAUGCAUGUAUCGGGACACUUUAUCAACCUAACAUAAAAUUGUCAUCUUAUCUUAUUAUAUGACUAUUUUAUGCAUGUGUCAAAGAAUUUAAAAAUGACUGCCUGUCUAUUGAGUCUAAUUACAACUGCACAUUAUCUGUCUGGAUGUACCAGUCCAUAUCAUUGUUACUAAAUACAAUAUAUUGUAUUCACCUUUCAUUUGUAACUUCAGACAGAGAAACCACAAUUUAGAGCAUAACUAAAACACAGACACAGACACACACACGCACACACAGAGUGAACACCUGCAAGGGUUUGGGAUACUGGAUACCACUGUUCCCUUCUGUCCUUUUCCCCUCCAUGGGCUUUGAGGGUGAUGCUACAGGGGUGUGAUAAAGCAGCUGAUUUGAAAGAUCCAACUACCUACCUGGGCUGGACACUAACACAGAAGGGUAGACACACACACCCUACUUUAUUUCAUUUUUAUUAAUUGUUUUACGACAUGACCAAAGCUAUUUUUACCCUCUGCCCAGUGACAGGCAGGGAUGAAAAUGGGGCAGGAGGAAAGCCUUACAAACUGCACUUGGGAUAACUGUGAACUGCUGCCACUCUUGGAUUAAACAUGGCUGUGUGCACCAGGACCGGGCACUUCCUAAUCCUUUCCUCUCUGCCUCCCCGCGGGCCUGCCUGCCUGCCUGCCGCAGCCCUGGCCCCAGCCUGACUCUGGCAGGACACGUGUAAAAGAGAAAGCACCACAAGAGGUCCAGGCACUCUGCCUUCAAGAAGGUAGGUCCUUUCUCUUUCCAGAAAUCCCAGGAGUGGAGGGCGGCGGUAAAGGAAUGGUUUUAAUUCUCUCAACUCACCUGGGUUUCACGGUAUUUCCCACAGCCCUGAGCAGUCGCCUUUCAUUCUAAUCACUUGACAAAACAAUCUUUAGCAAAAAGAGGGGAAAAGGCAGACGUGUGAGGCAAUUUAGGGAAUCGCUGCUGAGGCAUCAGUUAUUGACUAUCUGGCUCCUGUUUAUGAGCGCGCUCAAGGCAAAACUGAGAACAAAAUGACAACAUCAACAGCUCACAAUCAAGUGUGGCCCUGGAGAGCACUGAAGCCCUAACUGACAGCUGUCAAGAUAAUGGGGGCACCGCAGCUGAUUCUGGAAGGUUCUCUUCCCCACGUGGACAUCCAAGGGAAUAGCCUUGCCUCCCACCUCCUUUGUUUUUCUCCUUCGUCUUCUUGGCUUUCCUUUUUAGAAUUUGCAUUGUUGCUCUCAUUUCGUAGGAAAUGGGGGAAGAAAAAAAUCAUAGAACGGUCAAAACCAGUCGCUCUGCCACCUUGCUACAGAGUAGAAUACCUGUCCAAGGAGAAAUACGUGGCAGGUAUGAGACGAAAAAAAUUCCCAAAGCUAAGGCCGAAAUGCCCUUCUGAAUGCUCCAUGUGCUUCCAAGAGAGAACGGAAAAGCUCCUUCCUGGAGCUGCCCGAUGUGUGGACCAGACUUAGGAAGGUGUCAUCUGGACACCACCAGGUGGGCCACCUCUUAGGCAUGCCCAUGUCUACUGGCAACAUGGAACCCCCUCUGGCUGUUCCAGGGGGAUCCACAGUGUUCUGUGGCACCAGCAGACCCUAGGGGGUCCAAGUCACUUUCACAAAAGUCAAGAUGCUUGAAGAUUUACCCUUGCCUUGUUUUUACCACCUAAGAACUCCACGGAACAUUACCCCCUUUCAAAGAAUAUAGCUUGCUGGCAAAUUGUGGUUCGAUGGUUUCUUUUUGUUUUUUGUUUGGUUUUUUUUUCUUUUGGAAGCAUAAGAAAUGGUCUUUUAUGAUUUCACAUUUGCCUCCAGAAAAUUAAUAUAAGUAAAAUAUCUGCUAUUAAGUAUUACACUAAAAUUUUUCUGGCAUUUUCAGAAAUGUUUUUUAAAAACCACUCUGAACAGGAGAAAAUCAUGCUUUAAGCAGGGGAUAAUGGUCAUUUUGCCUGAAGGACACUGUCCUUCCCUAACCCCACUCCUCUGAGCUUCUAAAAGCAGCAACAUCUGUCCAGCACAAAUGCACACCCCCUGGAAAUUACAGGUCUCAAGGAAGCAAACUCCCGCCCAGGUUUCUCUUUGGCAGGUAAAGAAACCUCUCUUUCUCUUUGAGAAAAGACCCUAAGCCAUACAUAGUUUCUAUCAAAACAUCAAAAAAUCCUAAAGUACAGAAAUAUGUAUUUUCAGGGAUUCUUGGAGCCUGCUUCGGCCUUCGGGAAAGCAAUGAUACAUUGGCCUAGAUAUGAAGACCGUGUGUACCUGUGUGCCACGUCUGCUCGCCCUACCCAGCUCUUGGCCUUUUGUGGUUGUUAUUCUACCCUAGACCAUUAAAAGGGCCCUAAUUCCUAUGACAUGAUUAUCCAGGUACCAAAGCCCAUUUGUCACCUGCAGCAGAAAAUUGAGUUAAUGCACAACUAAAGGCAGCCAGGACUGUGUAAUAUCAACUUGAUUACAUCAAACUAGCUGCAAACCUAAUUCUGCUGGAUGACACUGCGUCGAGCUUGUCAUCUCCAAUCAUUAAAGCUGUCAGGAAUCCAUCAGGUUUACAGCUAAUUAGGUGAACACUAAUGAAGCUGGCAAAACAACUUUUCUUUUUUUAUGGCUGAGCGGACCUUUCAGUUUGGAGGGGAAAAAAAUUCUCGAGUAUUCUCAAGGUUGCUGGGGACUGGAUUUCCAGUUACCAAUCAGCAGACAUCUUUCUUUUCCCCACUCUCUCUCUCUAUCAGUACAAAGCAAUCAAUUUGUCAUCACUCCCAGUAUGCCACAAAAGCUGGCAUGAACCUUAUAACUUGCAGCUGGGAAAACUAAAAAAGAGGAGAAAAAAAUGGGAAGUUUCUGGUCCAUCCAAACAAACAAACCACCCCCAAAAAAAAAACCUCUGUGCAUACUUAUCACCAGCCUAAAUGUGGAGUUUUUUUUUUUUCUCUCCACUCUUCUUAAAUAAGUAGCUCUUCAGUCCGCCUCCACCCCCUCCUCCACAUGUCCAUUAGGCAGAGGCAUUCUGAUAAAGUAAAUCCAAAACCCGAGUAUGGGAAAGAAAUAAAGCACUCAUGCUGCCAGCUUCUGAUUGACCAUUAAGCUAUUGAUGAAUGUGCCUGUCAGGAGAGAGACAAUUAAAUCAAAUAUGAAACAAAGUCGUUUUGACGGGUCAUUUUGAUAGAGCAAAACCAUUCUUCCAUCUCCUAUUAGUCCUGCAGUCAAGUUUUUUAUAUAAUGAAUUUUUCUUAACUGACCUGAGAUUUCCUGGCUGGCUUUCUUUAAAAAAAAAAAAAAAGUGUGAAAAGGUUAGUGAACAGGUUGCUCUAAAAAUAAAUAAAUAAAUAAAUAAAUAAAGCCAACAGCAGGUUCCCUCCUCCUCUGAUAUUUUUCUGGAGGAAGCUAUCAAAUACGAGUCUCAGAUUGGCAGGGUGCAACCGAAGAGAUGAACUAGAGAGAGAGUUCUGAACCAAAUGUAAAGAUGUAAUCACAUAUGGUUCAUUGGAUGGAGGCACACACAUACCUUAAAAUGUGUAUCCAAAAAGGAAAGAAAAAAAAAAUUUCAAAGACUGGAAGAAGCCCAAGACAUUCCUACUACUCAACUUUGUGAAGGAUUCCUCCAAAGUUUCAGAGUUUAUUUUGGGUAGAUAAGCUCAUUGCUUGAGCCUGGAAUUUAAAGUAGAAGGUGGGACGGGCAAGAAGCAAGCUCCAGGAGGUUAACUAGGGAGGCGGCAAGCUCCCUACAAUCACUCCUGGAAUUUUCAAACUUUCUAAAUUUGGGCAACACCGAGGACAGAGAGCAAAACCUGCAUCCUAAGCCCCAAACCAACCCUGUUUUCUUCUGAGAUUUUCUGAAGACACUGGCAGGCAAGUACAUUUCUGGGAGAAGAGAGAAUUAUCAUUCCUUCUCUGUGACCCCGUGUAAGGGGUCUGGAGUGCAGAGUGCAGCCAACGUGUGAGGUCCCCUGGCAGUGCCGGCUGGCAUGAUGGAAAUUAUGGGCACUCAGGGCACCAUGGCUACAACGCCUUCCUCCAAGAUGGGCACCAGCCAAUGCCCUGACCCUACUCUCUGCCCUUCCCUCUUAACAUCAAAAGAGAAGUAAAAGAAAGGAAGAGAAAAGAAAAGAAAGGAAGCCCCACUUAACCCUCCCCUUCAGGGAGCAUCUGAACCUCUGCACAUCUGAGUGUUACUCAUAUCAAAAUACAUCACGUCCAUAUGUGGUCCUCUCGGCAAUCCGCCCCAAAUCCCAAAGUUGCACUGACAGGGCCCUCCUGACGUCACAGAGCUUGGCCUCACUAUUGCAAGUGAUUUAUUGAUGUUUAUUGGGAAUGAAUAGAUCAAAGGCAGCAGCAUGACGGGCGAUCAAUCAGUCAUCAAAUCAAGGAUGGCAACGGGCCAGAAACCCUUCUUCCAGGCAACAUGCCCCCAACCGACAUUAUUGCAAAAUAAUGUUAUGUGUGUGGUUUUUGUUUUGUUUUCAAUGAUGCGUUUUCCAGAAAAGAAAAGAAAAAAAUCGGCUCAGUCUUAACAGGAGUUGACACUCCCGGUUAAAGAAGAAGAAAAAAAAAAAAAAAGGAGGAACAAAAAAGUACUCAGACACGUCCCAGAACUAAGUGCUAUGCGGAGAUGAGGGUGGGAGCAGCAGUACAAGGAGGGGGUGGGGGCGAGGAAACACAAACAGGGGAGAAGGAAACGCCAGCAUCUAACAUGGACUUGACAGUCAUCUGACAAUACCCAGACCCUGUGCGCUCCGGGUUCCACCGCUGUGCCCAGUUUGGGCCCAAGAAAUGAGGAAUCAAUCGUGUUAGUACUAAGGUGGCCGAGGGGACCGGCUCGCUCACUCGUUCGCGCUCCCUGGCUCGGCGGACACCAGGCAGUCCCCCGGCGGUCGGCCGCUCGGAGGACGCGGAAGAUGUCCCGGGGAACUCAGGUGACCCCGCCCGCCACCCACAGAAAGAGCCAGGCCGGGGUUGCUUCCCAUUCCCUCUGCAGCCGGAGAGCUGAGGAGGUCAGCAGUUCUAGAAGAAUCUUUCUGGACAAAAGACCUGGAGUUGGCACUUUUGGCUGCCACUCAACAUUGAAUGGCCUCUAGCUGUGACCCAUCUUGGGACAAGAAAAUAAACUAAGGAGACGCAACACCUGCUGUUAGCUGAACCUGCUGACCAGGCUCCGUCUCCUCAAAGUUUUGGGGGAGCAGAGAAGAUGGUAUGAGCAGAACUUCUUUCUCUUGGAUCAGCUCCUAGGUUUGUUCUAGUGCCUGAAGAGAACAGGUUGCAGUAUCUCCAACUGCAAAGCAGGUGCGUGGAGCCACAUUCCUUCUGUUGAGCAAAGCCCUUCAGAGGGGCCCACGGGCAGGUGAGUCCUCCUCCCUUAACACAAUAUCACAGACAGUCCAGCCUCCAAGCCUCAAAGGGCAGAGCAAAAGGGCCAAAGAGGAGAUGGCAGGCACAGCCUGGACUGUCUGAGAUUUCAGAUCCGCAGAGGAAAAGUUGGCAAGCGUCGGGACCAACAUUCUUCUACCAUUAACACUCACCUAGGAAUAAUAUCUAUAUUUUGGGCUGGCACUUCAGGUUUACUGUCUCGUAUAAUCUCAACAACCUGGGAGGUAGAUGCAUUCAUAUUCUUAUUUUGCAGAUGAGGCAAUUGAUCCUCCGACAGGUUGAGGAGCACCUGCAAGGUCUCAGACAGGUGGUAAGUAUCAGAAAGAGAGGGUUUAAAUGCAGAUUCGGUCUGAUUCUGCAGGAGAUCUCAUACCUGAACAGGUGAGUCAUCGUCACGUUUCAGGAGCAACCACCAGGGCAUGCUGAACUUCCUAAGGCAGUAGGGUGACCAGCUGCCUUGGUUUGCCGGAGACUGGGGGUUUCCCAGGACACAAGACUUGCAAUGCUAAAACUGGGAAAGUUCUGGACAGACUGGGACAAGCUGGUUCCCUUAUCUGGAAGUGAGAAUAAAACAUAAGCUACUAAGAGUGCUGUGACUUUAAACUGUAAAAUCAAAAUAAGUAGCAAACCAGUGGUUUGUGGGUAGGAUGUGAGUCUCUGGCGAGUUUCUUUUUAACUGCAUGGAGUUCCUAAGGCAUUUUACACAGAUUGCAUUUGAAAUGCCAGAGUUGUUGCAUAGAAAGUUGGACCUCGGGCUUUCAAAAAAUAGAAAGAGCAGGUCUUGGAAGGCUACAGUCCCAGCAAGGGUGAUGGCUCCUUUCGUAAUUCUCAGUUCCUGCUGGCCAACCUUAUUCAUUAGACCAUGGGCUUGGCUCUUGGAGACAGUCAAUGUUUUCCGUAGAGAAUAUUACCCCGCAGUGGCCAGGAAGCAAAUGCCAAUAGAUCUCCAAAAUAUUUGAUCAUACCAAUGGAUUGCCUAGAAUAUCCUGUGGUCUUUCUGUUGCCUUUGAGAGAACGUCAUGGAAUACCAGGUGGGGGUGGGGCAGGUGAGCUCAGGGUAGCAAGGAUUCUGACAUAGCAAAGGGAAAUUCUGUAUGGGACAGACUCAAAGGUCCCAGAUGCCCUCUCAAAUGAAGAUGGCAAUAUUCCAAAUAUUCAUUGAUCCAUAAGCAUCUCACGGCAGGUAUAAGAUCUGGGAGAACUCAUCUUAUUCCAUCCCCAGGAAACAAACAUCCCUUCUUGGGCAAUGUCUCCAGGCCACGCUUCUCAUCCGCAGAGCAGGUGCCUGUUCUCCCCGGGCCAUCUGACAGGGGAGAUAGAAAAUCUGCAAGAGAAAGCUCACAGCACGGGGCUGAGCCCUGGAGGGGAAGCACAGAGGCCUGUAUUCUAAUUCACUGAUGAUCAAUUUGCAAGUUCUUUUUCUCUUAGUUCCCUUAGUUUCCUUCCAGGUAAUGCAGAAUUCCUUGAAGCUUCUCUAGGUUGUUUUACUUUGCAAUCUUUGGUCAGAAGGUCUUUCUCAUGUUAACAGGUGAGUUAAGGUAAGAGCCCCAGACUCCUGGGCUUCCCCCAGCCCACUCCAUGAUCCCAAAAGAGAUUCCACUGGGGGAUACAGUUUGAAUCACCUGAACUAGACAAUUAUUACAGCUUCUCUUCCAGGUUGAAUAUUUCAGGGUCCCUUGCCAAACAGGGGAAGAUCUUGUUAAACCAAAAUCCCAAAUAGAUUUCAAAUAUGCUGGAAGUUUACAUGACCCUAAAGACUGCUCUCCAUGAGAGACUCAGGGGCUGGGGUAGUACCUUCUAAAUUUCCAUGGGAAAAUGAACAUGCUCCAGCAAGAGCUUGGGAAAAGAAGAUAGUCCCUAAGUUUUAUUGUUUGAAAUUUGUCACUCAAGGAUGUGAACGUGUCGCUGACAAUUAUGUAGCAUCUCAGAGCUCAGAAAGCACUUUUGCAUCGAUUAUUUCAUUUCUUGUUCGUGCCAAUUGUGUGAGGUGGACAACGUUAUGUUCAUAUGAGAAAUGCAGCCCAGAGAGGCUCAAACCCAGCACUUUUAACUCCCAAUCUCCCUCUUUUCUCAGUACCAUGUGGUAAGUCUUUAUUAACCAGAGUGUCCAAUUAACCAGAACAUGCCUGUGUCUUAGGGAUCAUCCCAGACUGAUUUUCUUUGCAGAAAACCCCAGGGAGCCACAGCCUUUCCUGCACCUCCUUUUGUUAGCUGUAUGUUUUUUUAGCGGCCCAGUGAGGCCUGCAUUUCAGAGCCUGUGUUGCAAAGCUCAUUGCUGUGGAGGAGACGGUUAUGGGCUGGGGCCUGGGUCUUCCGCCCCUUCCUGGCAGACCAGGAGCUUCAGUUGCUCUCUGUGAAGUUCUUCUUUGCAGGAGCCUGACACAGACGACAGCCCCAGGUAAUCCCUAUUCUUCAAGACCAAGCCAGGGAAAAUCUUCCAGAUGUUCUUGCUACUCACCCCGACCUUGCGGUCUUACCCUUCUGGCUGAACAAGAGACAAACAGCUCCUCUCCACUUGGCUGUGUGCGGCUUAACGAAUGCGUAUGAAGACCGUAUAAAUAAUUCACAUCACUCAAGAGGUGGCGAGCUGAACAAGUCCCUUCUGGUUACAUUUAUUUCAAGAUAAGGUGAAACUAAGUGAGUGAUGGCCCAGUUACAGAGGCCAGGGUCCAAAGGGGAUUGGGACACUCUAAGUUACACCACCAGAGUGAUUUGUGCAGAACUGUGUCAACUUAGAGAUCCUGGCACCUUGGGGGAAAGGGAAAUGUCUUAUCUCUAAGAAAAGUGAUACAGGAUGAGUAUUUUCCAAGUACAGCCUAUAAGCUAAUUCUGCAGAAUCAAUUUGGCUCUGCCAGGAACCAAGUUUCUGCUUUAAUCUAAGAGGAACUCUGAAUUAGUAACCUUGCACAUGUUGUCUUCCCUUGGAAAUGUCACUAAGGGACUCUUCGAAGCAUGGGUGUGGGUCCUUGGUGUAGGUCCUCUAGGUGCAUGAGGUGGCACUUUCCAGAAGCAUGGGUGAACCUCCCAAGGGAGUCCAGAGUCUUUUAUUGGAAUCAAUGGAUGAGAAAAAUAUUGUUUUGCAACUUGAGUGAAUGUGGCCUCCAUGAUCAAAACCUGGACUAGAAAAGCCUGUGGAGUGGCCCUAGAACAGGGCAAGGUAGAGAGGAGAGUUUUCUCCUGCUGUGAAUUUACCACUCAUUCCUGUAUUGUAGCCACAUGCUUUAAUUUUUUUUCUUCUCCCUUUUCCCACAGUGCCCCCUAAAUAUUUCCACUGAAGACUUUUAGAACUUUGGAAUAAGGAAAUUGUAUCUCCAGCUGACAAUAAAAUUUACGAAGCAAAGAAUGCCUCCGUUAAUACUUUCCAAACGUCUUUGUUUUUGAACGAGCAAGAUGCUGAGAACCUUCCAAUUCAGUAACCCUGCCUCUGACAGGCAGCAGAACAGUUAGCAAGGUUGACAGAUAGAUGCAGCCACACGAUGCAAUAAUCCUUGCUGCACUGAACUUUGUAUUUAAACACUUAUUUUAUGUUUAAUUAAUUUCUCCAAAGAGGAAAACUUCCAGGCUGCCUUUGAAGCCGGCUGUUUGUUUAAGAUAUUUUGUUUUAAGAAUAAGAGAAAAAAAGGAAGGAAGGAAACGGAGGGAAAAUGUUUAUGUUUUUCCUGUUGUUUUUUCAAAUAUGAUGUGACAUUGUGAAAAGGCCUCCUGAAAGUGCAAUUUUUUGUUUGUGAUGGAAGAGAGAUGCACCUAUGAGUCUUACAUCAUCAAAGAAACAGACGCUUAUCUAUAAUUUAUGCUUUGCUUUAAGCUUCUGCUGAUCUGAUGUGGCUUUUUUAAGACAACACAGGCAGCCCUGGCAUCACUUGUCAAUCAUCGGGGCAUGCUCAAAUCGUAGACCAUUAGCAGGAGGGACGGCAGAGUUUCUUUAAUGACGCUUUUAUACGGGGCAUCCUGGCAGUGAAACAGAGAGGGUUUGAUUUGAUCAAUGCAUUAGCCUAAUCACAGCGUUCCUGCUCUUAAUUUCUUUUGUCGGCAAUUUCCAUACAUGGGUUGCGUUCAGGGUUCUGGCAAAAACCCGUUCAGAACUCCGUGUGACAUGUGCAGUCACCUUGCCCGGAUUUCUCUCGGUGGGAAGCGACGUCUGCAAGAGAGGGGACGGCGGCUGGGCUGGAUGGCUGCCUUUGAGUCCGUCCUGCGGUGAGGCUGGGGAAGGCCCAUUCCACGCGAGCCUUGGCUUCAGCCCUGAGGUGCCUGCCAGCCCCCGUGGCAGACCCCGGCCCUGCCAAUUUCAGCCCCCUUGGUGAUUCUGUUCCAGCGCUCGCCAAAAGCAGAAUCCGUGUAUAAUGAACAAGUUUCAUGUUCAACAUUUUAAGUGUCUAUUUAUGAGUCCCAGUAAUUAGCCCUUUGUCUGCAAUUCUGGCGAUGAUGAUUAGAAUUCCAUCUCACGUUAUGAAUGCUGCUCCCCAAACUUGUCCUUCUCGCCUGGAGAAUCCCAAGCAGGUGGGCACCUGAAAGGCAAAGAAAGGGGGCGAUUUGGGGAGUGGCCGGUCUCUUCUUUUACCAGCCCUCCAGCAGCCUCCUUCCUUUGAUCCCAUUCUUCCCUGGCUGUAUGUAAUUUCAGACUUCUCAGAAUCCAUUUUCCUGGCUUUUGUUCUGAAACUUGUUUUCUUCUCAUCCUCCACUGUCAUCCCCAAAGGGUGCAUUUUUUUAUAUCAUGCCCUACACAUGAUAUUUGUACCUUUUGCAAAAUCUUGUCAGGAUGCUAUGAGGUUUGAGAGUCUUUCCAAACGAAUCAUUCUCAGAAUCAAAAUAUUAUGAAGGAGGCCAAAUUAUCUCUAAUUAUAACCUCCAGAAAAGUGGAGAACUUUUUCAACAAACAGAACAGGGGUAAGCAUCUUACAGAAAUAUUUGCAAGAAAAGUAAUAUUCUUUUUUUUUAAAGCUAUCAAAUCAUGUAAGCAUACAAAUAAAUGUAUUUUAAUAAGGGUAAAA